GGCGGAUCGAAGCCCUGGCCACGCGUCCAGUAUGUGGUGUGAGCGGAAGGCGGCAGUAGCGCCAUGCCCGCGGCGCCAGGUCGUUGCUCGCGCACGGCGCGGACAAAGGGUACCACGAGGUCGAUGAGCAGGCGCGGGUCGUUGCCCGAUGCCUCGAUGAGCCACAAGAUGCCCGGCAGCGUGUGCGGACCCGCGUCGUACUGCUGAAAGACGCCGCUCGCAUCGAUGACGUCUCCCGUCGCGUCGGACACGACGAGGCGUCCGAUCCUGAUUCCGUCCUGGACGACCAUGGCCACAUGCACCGGCCCAUCGGCAGCGGUCCAUCGACCGAGAGGGUCUUGCGCGUGACCCGGUGCGACAACAAACAAAUAGGGCCCUUCAAACAGAAAGGGCGUGACGCUGGGCCACCGGCGACGUGCCUCGGUGAUGUCGGCGUCCGAGGCCAGCCGGGGCGCGGCGGGGUUGGCGCGCAGACCGGCCGCCCUCUCCAGAAUGGCUGCGAUGUCCCACCCGAACGUGCGCACCUGUCGGGCCAGGGCGUCGGUCGCACGCUCUCGACCUUGGCCGGCGCCUCGAUCGGCCAGGUCGAGGAGCAUGGCGUCCGAGUCAAUGGGCGCGUAGCCAAAGGCUUGUCCGGCGACCUCGUUCAUACGCACUAGCGUUGUCACGGGCGAGGGCGGCCACAGGCGUCCGCCCUCGGCCAGCGGGUCCACCAGCGGUCGAAUCCAUUCCGGACCCUCGAUGCCCGGCGGAUAGAUAGGGCGGCCUUCUUCGUGCGUGGCGCCCGUCGAACCCACCAGCGGGCUAGACAGUGCCACGAGGAGGUCUUCGUAGUUGGCCGGCAGCCACCGGAUACCUUGCAGGGGCCGGUCAGCCACCGGCGUCAGGGAAUAUUGCUGGAGCGCCCGCAGCAGGGCCGCCUCGCGCGGAUCAAGCGAUGGAUUCUGUGUGCGCCGCGCCGCUGCAUUGAGCCACCUUUGCAAGGCCGCGGCCGAGUCGAGGCCAUUGUCGGCGGCCCACUGGCGCACGGCGUCCCACGUUGGCGGCACCGGCGCGAGACCGGUGGCGCCGGUUCUCGCUGGUGGUCGCAUGGCUCCAGGUCUUAUCGACCUCGGUUGAUUGGUUCUGUGCAUCGUCAAUGGUCAAGACACACGGUUGCCCUCAUGAAGGAGCAAUUGCGGCACGCCGGACGGCGACGCCGUUGUAGCGUGCCAACGACACACACACACACACGUACUCGACUCGCGUGGUGCUGUGCCGGCGGUCCUUUCUCCCGAUUCCUUGUCAAUAAACAGUCACAAUCUACGAUCCGAGAACUGGCGUGGGAUGAAAACGAAAAGAAGA
rnacentral:lncRNA from 1 species